CUUCACUAACAUGUUGUGUAUCUAUGAAAUCAAAGUGAUUCUCCAUCAGACAUCUGAUUCAGUCUCUGAUCUGAGAACACUCAGUCACAUCGUCAUUACUGGAGUGUUGUUGCCCCCUGCUGGUCAGUCUCAGAACAGCGUCUCUGUAGAUCACUUCACCAUGUGGACCAGCAGGUGUCGCUACUUCACAGGAUGUUCAUCUCUUGAGCCGCAGUGAUCCCGACUGAGAUCUGAUGAUGCGAUGUACAUUAUUCAGCAGCCUCCACAGAUGCCAGCAGUUCAGUGGUCACAGGUUUUGACGUGAUUCGAGAAAACGCUGCUUGGAUUUUAGGAUUUUGGAUUCUUGUCUGGCUAGUCGGACAAAAAUCAAAGAAAUUAGAAGGGUUAUAGGAGCGGGCAUGUUUCUUCUUGGUGUUGGAAAUAAAAAGUGUCAGUUUCCCUCUGAACGUAAACAACCGACCAGUAGAUGACCUUCAGUGGUGCCAUAUAUUACAUCAAAGGAUGCCUCUGCAGUUGGAUUGCGGUGUCUGCCUGUCGUCCAGAUAAGAUUCAACUUGAUCAUCAGUGUCUCGUCACAUCCUCCCACUUGACCGACAUGUUGGGAGAUCUACUGUAUCCUCUGGAUCGUCACACGGACAAAGAGAACUUGAUUAACCUGUUGUUGUGCUUCAGGGUUCAAGCCUGGAAAUCAAAUGUAAAUGUGCUCGAGCGAUCGUUACCUGUCGUCUGACUGUGCUGAAUGGCAACAAUGCACCUGAUUGUUCAAAGCCCAUCAGCGAGGGGCUUUUUCAAAUGUAAAACUUGGCUCUAAGCUGCACUUGUGUACUUGGCACUUGUACAGAAACAUUUGUGAAAUCACAAAAGGUGUUUGGGAGUUGGCUUCUUUUCAAACACAUGAAAUGACUCUGGAGUACAGAGGGGUGUCCACCCAUCAGCUCCGACAUGGUGUGAAGUAUGUUCAGGUAAAAUGUCAAAAAUGAAUAGGAAAUACUGCAAUUUCCAUGUUACUUUUGAUUAAUCUGUAUAUUCACAUAUGUCUACUGCACAUUUUUUAAUUCACACUUACUUGGAACAAAGUAACAAAGCAACAUAAAACAAUGUAUUUCCUCAUUCAACUCAUGUCACAAUAAAAUGUAUAAAUCAUGCAGCUUUGAAAUCAAAAGCAUUCCAUCUAGUUGUGACCUUUUAGAAAC